GAGUUCGGAACUGGCGGGAACGCUGAUCUGAGCAAGAUCGGUGCCUAUUACGAAGAAAUGAUCAAGUCAAACCCUUCCAACCCUCUUCUUCUGAGAAAUUACGGCAAAUUUUUGCAUGAGGUAUACUACGCCAUACCACUCUAUUUACAUCUAAUUGAACUCUGGAAUUUCUCAAUUAUUGUUCAAUUAAUCAAAUAUUUGAUUAGUUUGUAUUUUUGUGUACAGGUGGAGGGAGAUUUGGGCAGAGCAGAAGAGUAUUACGGGAGGGCAAUAUUGGCAAGUCCUGGAGAUGGAGAAGUGCUGUCCUUGUAUGGAAACUUGAUUUGGGAAAACGAAAGAGAUGAGAGCAGGGCAAAAUGUUACUUUGAUCAAGCGGUUCAAGCUGCGCCUGAUGAUUGUAUGGUGUUGGGUUCAUAUGCACAUUUCAUGUGGGAAGCAGAGGAUGAAGAUGAUGAUGAUGAUAACGACGGCGAUGUAGUGGCGGCUCCGGCAGCUGCCGCCGUGGUUGAAUCGUUUUAAGUUCUUAACAGAGCCAUCAGUAAGAUACCGCUCUGGAAGAGCCAGAAUUCUAACCUUGUGCCCGGACCUGAGACCAUUGAGAUACCGCUCUGGAAGAGUUAGAAUUCUAACCUUUGUGUCCGGACCCCUGAGACCUGAGACCUGAGUCUGCUGCUGUGUUUAUUAUGAUUAGUGUUUAAUUAUAUGUCUAAGGUAACGGUGAAAGGAGGCU
rnacentral:lncRNA from 1 species